AUGGUUCUUCUCUUAAAAUAUCUUAUUGUACUGUACCCACACUUCUUGUGAUGUGAGAUGACAAAAUGCCUACAUGAUAAGUUGAAGUGA